GUUCAGCUGAUGUAGGCUGGGCUCAGCUUUGUGACUUUGCUUCUCUGUGCAGAUUUAUGGGAUGCCUGGGGCAGCUCUUCUUCAGGCUGUGGCGACCAGGAUGGUUUCCUAUCAUGUAUCUCUCAUCCUUCUGAUAUGACCACAGCACCACUUGAGGAAUAUGAGGACAUCCAUGGACACUGACAUCAUACCAGAUGAGGAAAAUGAGGCCCUGAGAUGUGGAGUGACUUAUUUCUACACUACCAACAUGUAGGUUAGACUUGGGAUUCCUGGCUUCUGUACUCGAUUAGGUUUCCUAUACAACAAAUUGCCCCAGACCUAGUGGCUUAAAGCAACGCACAUUAUCUCAAAGUGUCUGUGGGACAGAAGUUCGGGAAUGGCUUAGCUGGGUCCUCGGCAAGUCUGCAAUUAAGGUGUUGUCCAAGGCUUCAUUCUCAUCUGGAGGCUCAACUGGAGAACGGUCUACUUUCAGGAUCACUCAGAUUAUGGCAAAAUUCACUUCAUUAUGGCAGUAAAAUUCAGGUCAGCUUGCUUCUUUGACCAGUAAUAGGCAGUGAGAGACCCUAGCAAGAGAGGUGCUACAGUCUCAUGUAAUCAUGUAUUUACCAUCGCCUUUCGCACGUUCGACUGAUUAGAAGCAAAUCACCGGUUUGCCCACACUCAGGGAAGAGGAUUAUACAAAGACAUGAAGACCUGAAGGUGGGGUCAUGGAAGCCACCUUAAAACCUGUCCACCACCAGUACAAUAACUGUUUUAGCUGCCAAAAUAUUAGUAGGUGAGAAGGACACUAUAGUGGUUUAAAAUCUGUCUAAUGUUCAAAAAAGUAUUCUCUCCUUUUACUCUACUCCCUUGAAUCUGGACUGGACUUGGUAAUUUAUUUCUAAUAAACUAGAAGAUGGUGGAAGAGAUGGUGUGUGACUUCUGAGACAAAAGGCAUUGUGAUCUUCUCUUUGCUCUCUUUCUUCGAUGAUUCACUCUGGGGGAAAACAGCUGUCAUGUCACAAGGACAUUAAAGCAGGCCGGAGGAGUGGUCCAUGUGGCAAGGAACUGAGUAACCCUGUCGAAAACCAGAAAAAGGUUUCUGCCAACAGCUAUGUGAGAGCCAGCCCUCCGCUGCCAGUCACGUGAGUCAGCCGUUUCAGAAGAGGAUUCUUGAGCCCCAGUUGAGCUGUUAGAUUUCUGCAGCCCCAGCCAGUAUAACCUCCUGAGAGAAGCAGAGCCAGACCACUCAGCGGAGCCUCUCCCGAAUUCCGGAGCCACCAAAACUCAUCAAGUCUUUGAUUUUGCUACUAGCAAAAUGGUCUGGAUUAUCAUACCCAAAGCCUGGAUGCUGCUGGCAAGGCAAACUAUGGUCAUCCAGAGAUUUUUGCCUUAUUUCAGUCAUUAAGACAAUGAUUACUCCAUCAGCCUGGAUUCCAGAGAGAGAAGACAUGGAGCAAAACCUGUAGACAACAUGUACAGGACAUGCAGUGUGUUGAAGUUCAAAGACAAAUAAGACGCAGUUGCAGUUCUUGAGAUAUCUGUCAUCUGAUGGAUGAAAGAAACACAAACAAAUGUUUUGAAGUGAAAUAAAAGAGAAUGUGAAGUCAUACCAUUGCCAGACACAAAGGAAUACCUGUGACAGUGCCAACUUGUAAUGCAGCCACUAACUCAAAGGGGGAGGUGGGCAUAAGACAGGGAGUAAAUGGAGGGGUGAAUAGUAAGAGCUAAUUAAAUGCCUGUUUACUGGAUCUUGAAAUUAUUGGAGAUUUUUGUCAAAUGUUUAAUUUUCAUAUGCAAUCUAGAAUAUUAGUACAAUUUUGCAUAUUACAUUUAGAGAGUAACAUGUUUGUAUAAUAACAUUAAAAAUUUUUCUAAUUUUUCUGUAUAUUAUAUGCACUAAAACUUUGUAAAAUAUAUUAACUCCUCUUCCAAAAAUCAAUAAUCUAUCAUCUUGUAGAAGGCACUUGUUUGCUCAAAGUUACAUGUAGAUAAAAUUCUAUGACCUUUCUUUCCUUGUAGGUGAUAUUUUGAUGAGAGAAAGUGCAUAGCAAGAGACCUCCUAUUUAUAUGAAGGAAAGUACAGCUUUUAGACUCCUAAUGCUUAGUGGAGGAGAAUUUGACUGAGCUAAACAUGUUGAAAAUUCAGCCUUGAUAGCUGGAAAAGAUAAAUGAAAUCCAGUUUUUCUGCCUGAGUCAUUAUUUAAAUUCCUGCUUGGGAUUAGGAUAGGCCUUGAAGGCAUCACCUUCUAUAGAUCAUCUGCCUUGCUCCUAGAUGCUUCCAUUUAUACUGGGUAAGUUUGCCCCAGCAGAGAUGAUUUAUAGGGGAUGAUAUUCCUUGUAUACGGUAAAUGUCACUAAAUUAUACCAGGAAAUUUAAAAAGCAAUUAAUUUAGAAAAAAAUUAAGUAUAUGAAUAAUUUUAAAAAUCCUAGAAGUUAAUAAUAGUUCAGUUCCAUCUGUAAUGUUACAAAAUUGAAAGCCCUAGAUAUAACUUCUUGAACAACUGCUCAGAAAUCUGACUUUUAAAAAUUGCCAAAGAGCAGAGAACUGGAAUGGGAAUCAUAUGGUGAUGCGUAUGACAAAAGAAUAAGAAGUUAUGUAAUUUUUUUCCUCUGGAUUGAUUGUCUUAGAGGUUGGAGUCCUGGUUUCCUAUGUAAAGGUAUACAACUCAUUUUUGAUGCCUAAAUACUAAGUGAAUAACUCAAUUAUAAUCUAUCAUCAAAUUAAACAUGAAAAUAGACUUUUUAUUUCAACUUAAUAAAAAUAUUUUAUAUUAAUUGAACAUGUACCUACUAUGUGCAAGGCACUGAGUGAAAUAAACACGUAAGGAAUGCACAGGAUCUGCUCUCAAGGAAUUUUAAUCUAGUAGAAGAAAGAAAGCAGACACUCAGGAAAGGAUGGAGCACAUUCCAAAUAGUAAAUUACAGACUUUCAGUGAGUAAUAAAAGCAUGCUAAGGCACUCAGAAAGCAGAGUAUUUCCAGCUUUGUUAGUCCGGAGACUUUUAAUGGAGGUCAUGAAGGCAAUUAUAUUUGAACUGCCUCUUGAAGAAUGAGUAAGAUUUGAAUAGAUGUAAAUGAGUGGGAAACUUUUCCACAGAGGAGUAUUAGUAAACAUGUAAAUAGGAAAACACAAUUGAGCUGACUUGGCAGGCUACAGAUGACAAAUUCAUGGAAGACAGUUAGGAGGAAAACUGUUAAGGGAGGUUGGGACCCUGUUUGUAACGGGCAUUGAAACCUGUGCCAGGAAUGUAGACUCUAAUAACCAUCGAUAUCACAAGCCCUUCGCAAUAAGCGAGGGAGUUGUAUGAUUGAAGCAGUGCUGUGAUAGUUCUAGAAAGAUUCCAGAGGAGAGCAGUGAAGCAAGAAGGCUGUAAAGAUGCUGUUAAGUGUCUAGGCACCACAUCUCAAGAUAAGGGGACUGGGGGCAGGGGAUUUUUAGUUAGAUCUAUUUGUAUAAAAUGAAUAAAAUAUGGAGAGUGAUUAGACAUUGUUGGUCUUAGGAACAAUACAAAGAAAAGUAAUGACUCCAUGAAUAAAAAUACACAGGUCUGGAGAGAGAACUGGAAAGGGCAAUACAAAUGGAAAUUCCCACUAUAUUGUUUCUUAUAAGGAAAGAAAUUUUAGAGCUACAUCACUGCUGAAGGAAAAUAUUUGUAGUCAUCAGUACAGCUAUGAAAGUUGAAGCCAAGAGGGUGGGCAGGCUUCUUAUGGACUCCAUACAAGAUGAGAAGAGUCAUAUAGCAAAGGCUGUGAUUAGGGCAUGCCCACAAUUAAUCCCAUAAAGAAUCCAGUAGAGGACAAGGGAAUGAGUUUUCAAAAAAUUAAAAGGACUAAAAGAGAUAGAGUAUUACUGAAUCUAAAAACGUCUUAAAAAGAAAAGUUGGUAGUUUUCUAAGGUACAACAGAAAGAUAGACAAAGUAAGGACUGGCAGCCAGCCAUUCUAACGUACGGUUAUGAGGUGCCUGUAGGAUUCUAAAGGUGCAGGUUUCAGAAAGUGAAGAAUAAGGGGGAGUACAUGCAUAAUUCAGGCCUGACAGGUUAUCAGUUUUGGUUUCUCUCCAUUCAAUCAUUCACAACAUAUUUGUGGAGCACCUCCAAUGAGCUUUAGGGGUUGGGGAUAUAGCAGUGGACAAAACAAAUUCUUUCAUGCUUCUUAUAUUCUAACAGAGAAACAAAUGUAUAUCAAGUGGUGAUGAGUUAAAGAAGAAAAACAGGAAAGAAUGGGGAUAUCUAAGGGGUUCAUAGUCCCCAACUUAAAAGGGGAUGCUUUUUUUUUUUUGUAAAUCAUUUAUCUUUGGCUGCGUUGGGUCUU